GGGGUUCCCACGCAUACUGGGCUUAAAGCGUCCGUAGCCCGCCCCUGUAAGUCUGCAGUUAAAUCCGCCUGUAGACAGGCGGGUUGCUGCAGAUACUGCAGGGCUAGGAGCGGGAGGAGCCCGGGGGUAUUCCCGGGGGAGCGGUAAAAUGCGUAGAUCCCGGGAGGACCACCAGUGGCGAAGGCGCCCGGCUUGAACGCGUCCGACGGUGAGGGACGAAAGCUGGGGGAGCAAACCGGAUUAGAUACCCGGGUAGUCCCAGCCGUAAACGAUGCCGGCUAGGUGCUGGCCAAGGUUUCGGCCUUGGCCAGUGUCGAAGCGAAGGCAUUAAGCCGGCCGCCUGAGGAGUACGGCCGCAAGGCUGAAACUUGAAGGAAUUGACGGGGGGGCACCACAAGGGGUGAAUGCCUGCGGCUUAAUUGGACUCAACGCCGGGAAUCUUACCGGGGGCGACAGCAGGAUGAAGGUCAGGCUGAAGACCUUACCAGACGCGCUGAGGGGUGGUGCAUGGCCGUCGCCAGCUCGUGCCGUGAGGUGUCCUGUUAAGUCAGGCAACGAGCGAGACCCCCGCCCCUAGUUGCCAGCGGCCUCCUUCGGGAGGGACCGGGCAAACUAGGGGGACCGCCUCCGAAGAGGAGGAGGAAGGUGGGGGCUACGGCAGGUCAGUAUGCCCCUAAUCCCCCGGGCCGCACGCGGGCUGCAAUGGGCGGGACAGCGGGAUGCGACCCCGAGAGGGGGAGCUAAUCCCUCAAACCCGCUCGUAGUUGGGAUCGAGGGCUGCAACUCGCCCUCGUGAACCCGGAAUCCCUAGUAACCGCGGUUCUCCAUACCGCGGUGAAUACGUCCCUGCCCCUUGUACACACCGCCCGUCAACUCACCCGAGUGGAGCUGGGGCAAGGUUCCAGCUCCAAAAGAGCUGGAAUCGAGCCUUGGCUCCUCGAGGGGGGGUAAGUCGUAACAAGGUGAC
rnacentral:rRNA from 1 species